UACGAAGGGGACUAGCGUUGUUCGGAUUCACUGGGCGUAAAGCGCGCGUAGGCGGAUCGCUAAGUCAGGGGUGAAAUCCCAGGGCUCAACCCUGGAACUGCCUUUGAUACUGACGAUCUGGAGAUCGGGAGAGGUUGGUGGAAUUCCGAGUGUAGAGGUGAAAUUCGUAGAUAUUCGGAGGAACACCAGAAGCGAAGGCGGCCAACUGGCCCGAUACUGACGCUGAGGCGCGAAAGCGUGGGGAGCAAACAGG
rnacentral:rRNA from 1 species